GAUGAACGCUAGCUACAGGCUUAACACAUGCAAGUCGAGGGGAAACGACAUCGAAAGCUUGCUUUUGAUGGGCGUCGACCGGCGCACGGGUGAGUAACGCGUAUCCAACCUGCCCACCACUUGGGGAUGACCUUGCGAAAGUAAGACUAAUACCCAAUGAUAUCUCUAGAAGACAUCUGAAAGAGAUUAAAGAUUUAUCGGUGAUGGAUGGGGAUGCGUCUGAUUAGCUUGUUGGCGGGGUAACGGCCCACCAAGGCAACGAUCAGUAGGGGUUCUGAGAGGAAGGUCCCCCACAUUGGAACUGAGACACGGUCCAAACUCCUACGGGAGGCAGCAGUGAGGAAUAUUGGUCAAUGGACGAGAGUCUGAACCAGCCAAGUAGCGUGCAGGAAGACGGCCCUAUGGGUUGUAAACUGCUUUUAUAAGGGAAUAAAGUGAGUCUCGGGAGACUUUUUGCAUGUACCUUAUGAAUAAGGACCGGCUAAUUCCGUG
rnacentral:rRNA from 1 species